GUGCCGGCUCGUCAGGGGCUAGCGGGGCUCCUUUCGUCCGGGUGCGCCCAACAAUAACGCGUGCAUAACUUUUUCUUGCAGCGGCCCCCAGCGUCCGGGCCUGCAGAUUCUCCUACCACGCCCCUCAGCCACCCGCUCCCUCCGAGGUGUGAGCGCGUCAGGCCGAUGCGGUGAUCUCUGGCCCGCCUGGGAGGAGCGCGUGGACUAGAGGGCUGAGGCGAGCUGGCGGCGAGCGCCCUUACAAUGGCCCUGACCCUGUUUGGUAAGUGCGGUCUUCUACCUUCCCGUGCCGCCGCAGGUGGGCCGCGCCCCACAGCUGGGGGCCCCCGCGCCCGGAGAGGGGCGCGGCGCGCAGUGUCGGGCGCCGGCCGGGGCAGCGGAGUUGCGGCUCCCGGAGCGCGGGGCUGGCUCCCUCGCGCCUCUCCCAUUGUUUCCUCUCCAGGCAGGGCCGAUGGGCGUGUGCUCCCCUGGCCAAUUCUGGUCUGGGAGGCUCUGAGGUCCUGGGUAUUUUGUAAACGCACCGUACUAAGAUGCCAACUUGGGAGCGAAGUUGUCUAGUUGUUUCCAGACCUACCUGUCCCAAGUCGGUAAAUAAAGAUCCUGGAAAGUUUAUUUAUUAUGAUCAAGAUGUCUGAGCAUCCCCAACCUCCCUAGAAUUACCCAAUGCAUGUGUUGCUUCCUGUUGGAUUGUUGGGAGAUUUUUUUUUUGGAUUUGGUAUAUUACAUUGGAAAACAAUGAUUUGUGAAUUUAUUAUUGGUUAAAAUGGGAGAUGGUUGCUCUAACGAAUGAGAUCAGACAGAAGAAAGUUGGUUGCUGGUAGAUAAACUGUAGUCAAGAGAAUAUUUUUGAGUAUUCAUUAGGAAAGAAAUGUUAUUCUUGUGAUGUAAUUACUGCAACACUAUUGUUUCAGUGGCUAAGACUUCAAGGUGUUUUUUCCCUCAUAAUUUGCAGUGACAAUAGGUUGGGAAGAACUAAGAAGAUACAUUGUUUCCUUUAUAAAAACAGACUGCAUUACCUUACUUCAAGAAAACAGUAUGUGGAAAUUUAUAGACAAAGUAUUAAAUCUUGCUUCUUUGGAAAGCUUAAUGAAAUGCAGUUGUAGCUACAAGGACACAGUUAUUCACAGUAUCAAGUUUCUAGUUAGGUUUUGAUUAUGUCAUUUGACCAGGCAGAUUAGAGGUGUCACAUACCUUAAAUGCUUUUUGAUGUAAAUACUUCAAAGUGAAUUGAGCUGCUUGUAUCAGUUACUUUUAUUUUCUCUUCCGAAAAAUAAAAUCUUACUGUUGUUAUCUGAUACCUUGUAUCUAAUCUGUACUAUUUAGUAGAAGUGAUUUCCUUAAUUGUGGGCUUUUGUGUACAAAAGUUAAAAUGAUGGCUUUAUUCAUAGUUGAUAUUUUAUUUAUGAGGAGCUGUUGUAGCUAACAACUGUUGUAGAGUAAGAUUUCCAGUGAAUUUCUCUUUGAAACUAUUUCUAAUUCAUUUUUCUUCCUGAAGAGAGAUUCUGUAUUGUCAAGCUUUGUUUUCAAAAGUAAGGUUUACAAGUCAAGCACAUUUAGAAUGCUGACAUCCCUGAUGAAUGAAACAGAUAAAUUGGGGAAGAUAAUGCUCUUUUAAAAGAAAAUUUCAAGCUUUUGCCCAGGUGGAGAUGAGGAAAGAAAGCACAUGGAAUUUGACCUCUUGAAGAAAGUAUAAGAACCUGCUCCCACCCUUCUAAAUGAAUAAACCAUCUUAAAAUAACGUCCACUUAUGGAAAAUAGAAUUUCAUUUACAAAAUUUACUUGGUUACAAUGAGAACAUGUCUGUUAUGAAGCACAGUACACUUGUGAACAGAAGCUGUUAGAGCCACAGCUGUUUUUAAGUGCAGCUGUAGAUCACUCAUCAUUCAUCUGGAUGUCUGUUAUUAAAAGCUUAAAUUCCUUUGCCCAAAGACCCAAGGAAGGGCAUUUUGUUUCUCUUAUGUAUCCUCACAUUUGAGAAUCAUUGAAUUAAAGACAAAUAUUAGAGGAUUUGAUUUAACUUGCCCAACUCAAUGUUGUUAUUUUGGGGGUUUUUGUGUGUAUGUGAAGAGAAAUACACAAGGGUGAGAAGAAAUGGAUUUGAUUUUAGGUUUUACUACCUUUUAACCAGUUGGUCUUAAGUCAGAAGCACUUCAUAUUCCUUUAUAAUUAUUUUGUAUUGGGGGGGAGGGGCACUGGACCUUUAUAUUUACUUUUAAUCACCAGUGUAGAGGAGCAAUGAGAUGAUAAAAGUUCUGUGAGAUGGUGACAAGAAGCUGGAUGGAUGUGAUCUGUCAGCCAUGAAGUCACAGCUCAACAGUUUCCACCUAUGGCUCCCUGCCAGGUUAUCUUGCAUAUCUUGGUUCUAUUAAGUAGCACAGGGCAACAAUAGACUAUAGUCUAGUUCCCUGCUUUGUGUUUGACAUUUCCAUUUAGCCUUUUUAUCAGUGUAAGGAAUGGUCUUUUGUAGGAAGUUAGUGAAAGUUAACUUUGUUUUAAAAAGUGAGAGCCUCUAAAAUUUCCUAAUUCAUAUACAUUCAAUUGUUUUUACUUGAUAAGUACAAAACCUCAAAGAUUUGUUAAGUUGAAGAGUUUAGACCAUUUGUCAGCCUCACUAUUAAUUAUCUUUAUUGUUUAACACACUACUUAAACAUUUUUUUUUUUUUUUGGUUGUAAAUGGAUCUUUAUUUUACUUAUUUGUAUGUGGUGCUGAGAAUUGAACCCAGUGCCUCUCACAUGCUAGGCAAGUGUGCUACCACUGAGGCACAGCCCUAGCCCAACAUAAUAUUUUUUAGUGCAAAUUAUGUUUUAUUCUUUAAUGGGAGAACCAGUCUUGAGUCUUUCAUGAUUUUAUAGUCUUAUUUGGGUAUUGAAAAUGUGCAUCUUUGAAAGUUCAAAGAUUUGAAACCAUUUUUGUUCACCUUUCAAAUGAACUUUAUCUCUGAGUAUCAUUUUUGAUAUAAUUUUUAAAUCACUGUAUUUCAAAACAUUUCCAAAUGUAUUUCAGACUUCACUUACUCAUUUUGCUUUUCUUAUCAACAAACUUCUAUUUCCAGGAGACAUGUUCCUUGUCUAAUGCUAAAUAGUGAUGGUACUCCAUAGUUUUCCCCAGAACUAUAGCAGAUGCACCUAAUUCAGUACCUGAUUCCAUACAGUUGGUGGUGCUAACUCCCUAACUCCAUGUGGGCUUUGUUGAAACUUCCCAAGUAGGGAGCAGGGAAGUACCUGAUCCCAAGUAAUUACUGGGAUGAUAGAAAAGUCUGUGAUUGUCUAAUUUAGAUUUUUUUAGCUGAUGUACCUGACAGAGGUCCUGAAUGGCCAUACCAAUAGAACCUUAGCUGGCAGAGUUGGGUGAAUAAGCAUUUUUCCAGUCAUCCCUUGUCGAGAAUUUCUGUCAUGAAGCUGUGGUUUAUAGCCCUGACCAACUGAUGAGAUUGGGAACUGAGUAAGAUCUCCAGGCUAACUGAACCUUGAAUAAUACUCUUCUCUUUCUGAGUAGAGUUAGUUCUGGCAUUGCACACCCUACCCCUGCUUCUUCCCUUCUUAUUACUAUUUAGUCACCAUCAUUACUAUUUUGGUUCAAUUCUAAUAUUUAUGAUUUUUAAAAAUAUUUUCCUAUCUUUUCUCAGACCCUCUGCCAUAAAAGCCUUUUCAUUAUCUUUAUUUAGCAUUUAUCACUACCCUGGCACAACUACCUGUAGAUGUCCUUUAUAAAGAUCCUUUGUAGCAAUUAGAUGGCAGUGGCACAUUUUCUGCGAGAGUUAGGUAAUUUUCUGAUUUUUCAUAUAACUGUACCGAAAUUAAAAUUUAUUUUCAAAGAGACAAGUCAGCUGAACAUUUUCAGUUUGAUUUAUUUGACCAAAAGGUAAUAUUAAAGGAAACUCUCUGACUACUCUCUGCUGACAUUUUUAUUUUUUAGUCCAAAGAAUAUGAGAAGGUGGCCCAGUGGUGAGAGCCUAUCUGCCUUUCUCUGAAUGUUCUGUCUUUUCAGCUGUCAUCAAAAUCACCGUCCUGUAGGUGCACACCUAUAAUCUCAGCUACUUGGAAGGCUGAUCCAGACCAACCUCAGCAAUUUAUCCAGACCCUGUCUCAAAAUAAAAAAAAUAAAAAAAUUAAAAAGGUUUGGGUAUGUAGCUCAGUGGUAAAGUGCCCCUGGAUUCAAUCUUUAGUACCAGUAAAUAAAUAAAUUGAUUAAUUAAAAAAUCAAAAGGUGUGGGGAUUCAUCUCAGUGAUGAAGCAGCCCUAGGUUUAGUCCUCAGUACAAAAGAAAAGAAAAACAAAACCAAAAAAAACAAACAAACAAAAAAAACAAAAAAACCCCACUAUCCUUAAUUGAAUACUUGUCUGCAUUUCUUCUCUUACCAGUAUAGUCAAAAACUUAAUAUGUCAGCUUUAAUUUCUUUUAAUGUGUGGAGAUCUGGUACCAUGGAAGAGUGGUGAUGUGAUAAGGAAUAUUGGUGAUGAAGUUUUUUGAGUCAUUUCUGUCUCUGCAGAUUACUAUAGUGUAAGUAGCCUAAUAUUUGAAGAGAGAAGAUAGGGAUAUGCAUAAUUAUAAAAAUUUGAUAUUUUUAAAAACUUUCUUUUAGAUUAGUUUUAUUUGUCUUUCUUAAAAAAAAUUACCCCCAGCCUUUUAGGGUUGUUCUCCCCAUGAAAAUUUAAUACCAGAGAUAUUAUACUGUGUAUCUGCAUAUAGACUGUAUGUAUACCUGCUGUAUGCAUAAAAGGAGUAAGGUUUUUGACUUCCAGGUUUUUGACUCCAUCGUUUUACACUAAUUUAAAACAACCAUAAGAAUAUUGGGCAGAAAAUUACUGUUUGGUCAUGCUUUAUAUAACAUAAUAACAGUUCUAAAGGAAUGACAUUAGUAAAAUGUUAUACUUUCUUCUUAUCAGAUCAGUUCAACUUAUGAAUCAAUAGUUUGCUAUUAUCAGGAGAGCAGCCAUUAGUAAAGAGGACGGAGGUGUAGUUAUUUUUUCAAUAAACUGCAAUAUGUAAGCUGAAUGAACUCACUGAACAUUCUGUGCAAAUUUAACUCAAGUCCUUAAGCCUGGCCUAAUUGAUCUAUCAGCCAUAAGUCAUUCUUACAUAGAAUAUGAUUUUCAUAAGCUUCAAAACAAGACAGGAAGAAACUUAGAAGACAGGAGAGUGUGACCAUAUUUUACAUUUAGUCACGUUGAAUAAAAAAAUCAGUUCUGACGAAGUUAUAAAUUUAUAUUGCUAGUUUGGAACCUUAUUUUUAUAAAAGUGAAUGCUUUUGUGAAUAUAUUAAAAACCACUGCAUUUUACACUUUAAAAGGGUGAAUUUUGUAGUAUGUGAAUCAUGUCUCAAUUAAGCUAUAAUUAGUAGAAAACUCAUCUGAGCUUUAAAAAAGAAACAGUUUAAAGGAACAUAUUAAAAAAAGAAAGAAAGAAAAGAAUUCUAGUUUUAAAAGAAUAGCUUUAUAUCCAAGAAUCUUUUAGAGCAUUUUGGGUUUUAAGAAAGUUUUUUAAAAGAGCAAAAAACAUAAUUAAAAACCGGUAGUUAAAAAUAUUCCUACCUGUUUUCGGUUGAGAAAAGUAAGUACUUCUUGGGAAGAGUUAAUGCUGGCAAUUGAGUAAUUUGUGGGAGAAGGGAAGAUGAGUCAGGCCAGGCCUGUUGCCAGCUGCUUAGUGGCGGUGGCUUUAGGCCACCUCAUUGUUUUAAAUUCAGCUCCACUGAAAGUUGUUCCUUUCUUUUUCCACUUUUUACCUUUCAGUUUCACUGGGCUGCAUGCAUUUUAUGGUGUAAGGCAAGCUGAAAAAGGAUACAGUCCAAGAAACAUCUCUACUUGACAUCUCUACUCAUCUCUUUCAUGACCACAAAUUUGACAUUUCAUCAAGCUGCAUCGUCUUCUAGGCUCUUUAAAUGGCUAAUCCUUCCUAAUUUUCUCAUGUC
rnacentral:lncRNA from 1 species